GGGCGCCCGGCGGCCUUUCCCACGCCCUCCCCCGCUGGACCACCCGAGCCGCCCUGCGCUGGGAGGCGAGGUGAGGGCAGGGCGCCGUGGAAGGGUGCGGCUCCGCAGCGUCGGGGACCUGGGAUGGGAGACGCGGCUGGAGAGCCAGAGAGACCCGGGACAGCUCCGUCCAGCGGCCGCGAGGAGGGGAGGCCUCCCAGAUUUUAAAAAGUGUAAUAAAAAUAACCAAGACGCCGAACAAGUGUAUCUAACUUUCACGGCCCAGCAGAAUCUUCAGAGGUGGUUUCUGGGGGAUGCUGAGUCCACCCGUCUCUGCAGAUUGCCGGCAUUCUGAUUAAAGGCACCUGUCCUUUCUACAAUUUGUGAGUAUUGAUUUUGUAAGUGGUGAGCAGUGGAGCCCGAUUCAUUCGUUGACAGGUCAAGAUUUGGGCUGAUCAAAUCUUUGCAAUUUCAGAAAAAAGUAAAAUACCAGAGUGACCUGUGAUCAUCAGCAUGAUAGAAACAAUACGGGCACAGUAGAGAAACUUGUGGGCAUCUGAUUAAAGAAGAGAUCCAGGGCAACAGCACCAAAGGGAUAAACCAUCUCCUGUGACACCAUCUCACCUGGUAUCUGAGUCCCUUUAAGAAGAAAGAGUCAAAUCCAGAUUGUGGGGCAUUCCUGCACGGCAGCUGGCCUGGACGUUUCAAAAAUGCCAGUGUCUUGAAUGAACACACACCCCCAAAUCGGACAAAUUAAAGAUUAAAGGAUUAAAGGAUAAUAAAGAGGCAUGAAAAUAAAUGCAGUUCCUCCCCAGGUGGGCCUCUCUACAGGGCUGCUUGAGUGUCCUUACGACAUGCUAGCUGGCUUCUCCCAGAGCAGGUGAUACAAGAGAGAAUAAAAGGUCUCUUAUGACUUUGCCAUUGAGGUAACAUACUGUCAUUUCCACAACCUUCUACUGGUUUCAUAAAUCGGCCCUGUUCAGAGCCGGAGGAGAACACACAGGGACGUGAGCAUCACAGGAGGAGGAUCACGGACGGCCAUCGUGGAGGCUGGCUAUCACAACACCUACCUUGCAAGGUUGUCGUGGGGAUCAAACGCAUCACCAUACGGAAGGGAUUCCAGACCCACGCUCUGUAUACUGUAAGGGCUCCUAAACGUUACCUUUUGUUAUUAUUGGCCCAGAGGGAAGCGGUUUCACUUUCUUCAGCUACUUCACUGUUAUUGUAACCAAAAGUGGGUCCAGCUGCUCACCACUCAAAAACCAAUAAAGAGGCAAGGUUGGUGGAAAGGAAA